rnacentral:rRNA from 1 species
UACGGAGGGUGCAAGCGUUGUCCGGAAUUACUGGGCGUAAAGCGCACGUAGGCGGCUUGUUAAGUCGGAGGUGAAAUCCUGGAGCUCAACUCCAGAACUGCCUUCGAUACUGGCGAGCUUGAGUUCGGGAGAGGUGAGUGGAACUGCGAGUGUAGAGGUGAAAUUCGUAGAUAUUCGCAAGAACACCAGUGGCGAAGGCGGCUCACUGGCCCGAUACUGACGCUGAGGUGCGAAAGCGUGGGGAGCAAACAGG